rnacentral:rRNA from 1 species
GUGCCAGCAGCCGCGGUAAUACGGGGGGGGCAAGCGUUGUUCGGAUUUACUGGGCGUAAAGGGCGCGUAGGCGGCCUCUGCAAGUCGACUGUGAAAUCUCCGGGCUUAACCCGGAACGGUCAGCCGAUACUGCAGGGCUAGAGUGCAGAAGGGGCAACUGGAAUUCUCGGUGUAGCGGUGAAAUNCGUAGAUAUCGAGAGGAACACCUGCGGCGAAGGCGGGUUGNUGGGCUGACACUGACGCUGAAGUGCGAAAGCUAGGGGAGCGAAC